rnacentral:rRNA from 1 species
GAUGAACGCUGGCGGCGUGCCUAAUACAUGCAAGCCGAGCGAACGGACGAGAAGCUUGCUUUUCUGAUGUUAGCGGCGGACGGGUGAGUAACACGUGGAUAACCUACCUAUAAGACUGGGAUAACUUCGGGAAACCGGAGCUAAUACCGGAUAAUAUUUUUAACCGCAUGGUUCAAAAGUGAAAGACGGUCUUGCUGUCACUUAUAGAUGGAUCCGCGCUGCAUUAGCUAGUUGGUAAGGUAACGGCUUACCAAGGCAACGAUGCAUAGCCGACCUGAGAGGGUGAUCGGCCACACUGGAACUGAGACACGGUCCAGACUCCUACGGGAGGCAGCAGUAGGGAAUCUUCCGCAAUGGGCGAAAGCCUGACGGAGCAACGCCGCGUGAGUGAUGAAGGUCUUCGGAUCGUAAAACUCCGUUAUUAGGGAAGAACAUAUGUGUAAGUAACUGUGCACAUCUUGACGGUACCUAAUCAGAAAGCCACGGCUAACUACGUG